rnacentral:misc_RNA from 1 species
CUGAAUUUCAGGAGGGUUGUUGCUGGCUUCAUUGCAUGUGCACACCCUUCGAUCUUCUAUACACACCUGUGCACACCUGUAGAGAAAGCUGACGCGAGUCGGCGACUAUCUAUGUCUUUCACAAACUCUUGUAUGUUAAAGAAUGUCUAUCUAUGGUCGCCUUAAAACCGUGACUAUAAAAUCUUAUA